rnacentral:rRNA from 1 species
GAUGAACGCUGGCGGCGUGCCUAAUACAUGCAAGUCGAGCGAACAGACGAGGAGCUUGCUCCUCUGACGUUAGCGGCGGACGGGUGAGUAACACGUGGAUAACCUACCUAUAAGACUGGGAUAACUUCGGGAAACCGGAGCUAAUACCGGAUAAUAUAUUGAACCGCAUGGUUCAAUAGUGAAAGACGGUUUUGCUGUCACUUAUAGAUGGAUCCGCGCCGCAUUAGCUAGUUGGUAAGGUAACGGCUUACCAAGGCGACGAUGCGUAGCCGACCUGAGAGGGUGAUCGGACACACUGGAACUGAGACACGGUCCAGACUCCUACGGGAGGCAGCAGUAGGGAAUCUUCCGCAAGGGGCGAAAGCCUGACGGAGCAACGCCGCGUGAGUGAUGAAGGUCUUCGGAUCGGGAAACUCUGUUAUUAGGGAAGAACAAAUGUGUAAGUAACUAUGCACGUCUUGACGGUACCUAAUCAGAAAGCCACGGCUAACUACGUG